rnacentral:pre_miRNA from 1 species
UUAGCUCAUAUUUGUAUGGAAUGGGAUCGUUUGCAUACGUUUGCCGCUAGGGGCGCUGUUCCAAUUGCAUACAAAAUUGGCUUA